UGGGAUAGCUCAGUCAGCAGAGCAUGAGACUCUUAAUCUCAGGGUUGUGGGUUCGAGCCCCACAUUGGGCUGCCCAG
rnacentral:tRNA from 1 species